rnacentral:misc_RNA from 1 species
AACGUAGGGGGCGAGCGUUGCCCGGAUUCACUGGGCGUAAAGCGCGUGUAGGCGGUUCGUUAAGUCGGAUGUGAAAUCCAGCGGCUCAACUGCUGAAUUGCAUCCGAUACUGGCGAACUUGAGGACGGUAGAGGUCGGUGGAAUUCCCGGUGUACCGGUGAAAUGGGCAGAUAUCGGGAGGAACACCAGUGGCGAAGGCGGCCGACUGGGCCGAUCCUGACGCUGAGACGCGAAAGCCAGGGGAGCGAACCGG